GGCCGGUUAGCUCAGUGGGUUAGAUUGUGGUGCUGUUAACACCAAGGUCAAGGGUUCAAAUCUCCUUACUGGCCA